AUUGAACGCUGGCGGCAUGCCUUACACAUGCAAGUCGAACGGUAACGCGGGGCAACCUGGCGACGAGUGGCGAACGGGUGAGUAAUAUAUCGGAACGUGCCCAGUUGUGGGGGAUAACUGCUCGAAAGAGCAGCUAAUACCGCAUACGACCUGAGGGUGAAAGCGGGGGAUCGCAAGACCUCGCGCAAUUGGAGCGGCCGAUAUCAGAUUAGGUAGUUGGUGGGGUAAAGGCCUACCAAGCCGACGAUCUGUAGCUGGUCUGAGAGGACGACCAGCCACACUGGGACUGAGACACGGCCCAGACUCCUACGGGAGGCAGCAGUGGGGAAUUUUGGACAAUGGGGGCAACCCUGAUCCAGCCAUGCCGCGUGCGGGAAGAAGGCCUUCGGGUUGUAAACCGCUUUUGUCAGGGAAGAAAAGACUCCUACUAAUACUGGGGGUUCAUGACGGUACCUGAAGAAUAAGCACCGGCUAACUACGUGCCAGCAGCCGCGGUAA
rnacentral:rRNA from 1 species